rnacentral:rRNA from 1 species
UGGCUCAGAACGAACGCUGGCGGCAAGCUUAACACAUGCAAGUCGAACGGAUUAUCUUUUAUAGCUUGCUAUAAAAGAUAAUUAGUGGCAGACGGGUGAGUAAUGCAUAGGAAUCUACCUAGUAGUAUGGGAUAGCCACUAGAAAUGGUGGGUAAUACUGUAUAAUCCCUGCGGGGGAAAGAUUUAUCGCUAUUAGAUGAGCCUAUGUUAGAUUAGCUAGUUGGUAGGGUAAAGGCCUACCAAGGCGAUGAUCUAUAGCUGGUCUGAGAGGAUGAUCAGCCACACUGGAACUGAGAUACGGUCCAGACUCCUACGGGAGGCAGCAGUGGGGAAUAUUGGACAAUGGGCGCAAGCCUGAUCCAGCUAUGCCGCGUGAGUGAGGAAGGCCUUAGGGUUGUAAAACUCUUUCAGUAGGGAAGAUAAUGACGGUACCUACAGAAGAAGUCCCGGCAAACUCCGUGCCAGCAGCCGCGGUAAUACGGAGGGGGCAAGCGUUGUUCGGAAUUAUUGGGCGUAAAGGGCAUGUAGGCGGUUCGGUAAGUUAAAGGUGAAAUGCCAGGGCUUAACCCUGGAGCUGCUUUUAAUACUGCCAGACUAGAGUCCGGGAGAGGAUAGCGGAAUUCCUA